AAACUAGAAGAUGCGAAGGUGUUCUUGGUGGGAUCAGGUGCCCUGGGUUGUGAGUUCCUAAAGAACUUGGCUUUAAUGGGAGUUUCAUGCAACAAACAAGGAAAACUGACAGUCACUGAUGAUGAUGUGAUUGAGAAGAGUAACCUUAGUAGACAAUUUCUUUUCCGUUUCAUGCAACAAACAAGGAAAACUGACAGUCACUGAUGAUGAUGUGAUUGAGAAGAGUAACCUUAGUAGACAAUUUCUCUUCCGUGAUUGGAACAUUAGCCAGGCAAAAUCCACUGUUGCUGCUACAGCUACAGCAUCGACAAAUUCCCAGCUUCAAGUGGAAGCUUUGCAGAACCGUGUGGGUCUCCGAUUUUCGCUGGGGUUGGGGCGGGUUAGUGCACUGCGUUGGGCGGGUUCAAUUAAUCGAAUGGGGUGGGUCAUCUGGUCCAAUCAGAAUAUGCCAUGUUUUAAAAAAAAAUCUGGAAACAAGUUUUAACAGCCGAGGGAUAUAUUUGGCCCUAAUGUAUAACGGUGAGGAUAUAUUUAUUAAAGAAUUCAAAUGGAGAAUA
rnacentral:lncRNA from 1 species